rnacentral:RNase_P_RNA from 1 species
UAAUUUUACAAGAGGAAAGUCCGGGCUGCUGUGAAGUAUGGUUCCAUUUAAUGAAUGGCUAGAGUAAUCUAAGGGAUAGUGCAACAGAAAGUAAACCGCCACUUAGGUGGUAAGGGUGAAACGGUAGAGUAAGAGCCUACCAGCAUUUUGAGUAAUCUUAAUGGCUAUGUAAACCCAACCUGCAGCAAGAAGGGGUGGUAUAAACUUCACGACAGAUGCCCUUUGCAAGAUUGUUAAAGUAAUUUAACAACUAGAUAAAUUAUUGUCAAAAACAAAACUCGGCUUAUGGUGU